GAAAGUAAAGAAGGGCGCAUGGCGGAUGCCUUGGCUCUCGGAGGCGAUGAAGGACGUGAUAAGCUGCGAUAAGCUUUGGGGAGGUGCAAAUGACCUUUGAUCCAGAGAUUUCCGAAUGGGACAACCCAAUAUCUUGAAGAGGUAUUAUCCAACGUUGUUGGAGGCUAACGCAGGGAACUGAAACAUCUUAGUACCUGCAGGAAAAGAAAAUAAACAAUGAUUCCCCCAGUAGUGGCGAGCGAACGGGGAACAGCCCAAACCAUCCAUGUUACGGCAUGGGUGGGGUUGUAGGACUACGCCGUUGCAUGAAGACAUCAGAGAAGAACUUUCUGGAAAGAAAGACCAUAGAGCAUGACAGUUGCGUAUUCGAAUGUUGUCGAAGCAUAGUAGUAUCCUGAGUAGCGCGGAGCACGAGGAAUUCUGCGUGAAUCUGCCGGGACCAUCCGGUAAGGCUAAAUACUCCCGAGAGACCGAUAGCGAACCAGUACCGUGAGGGAAAGGUGAAAAGCACUUCGAACAGAAGAGUGAAAUAGUUCCUGAAACCGUGCGCCUACAAGCGGUCGGAGCUCGUUAAUGAGUGACGGCGUGCCUUUUGCAUAAUGAACCUACGAGUUGCCUUUGCCGGCAAGGUUAAGUGUGACGACACACGUAUCCGAAGCGAAAGCGAGUCUGAACAGGGCGUAUAGUCGGCAGUGGCAGACGCGAAACCAAGUGAUCUACCCUUGGCCAGGUUGAAGGCUGGGUAACACCAGCUGGAGGACCGCACCAAUAAGCGUUGAAAAGCUUCUGGAUGAGCUGAGGGUAGGGGUGAAAGGCUAAUCAAACUUGGAGAUAGCUCGUACUCCCCGAAAUGCAUUUAGGUGCAGCCUUGCGGGUUACUGAUGUGAGGUAGAGCGACUGAUAAGAUGCGAGGGCUUCACCGCCUAUCAAGUCUUGACAAACUCCGAAUGCGCAUCAGUUCUACCGCAGGAGUGAGGGCAUGGGUGCUAAGGUCCGUGCCCGAGAGGAGAAGAAUCCGGACCACCUGCUAAGGUCCCGAAAUGACAGCUAAGUUAAACUAACGAAGUCUGACUGCUAAGACAGCUAGGAUGUUGGCUUGGAAGCAGCCAUUCAUUUAAAGAGUGCGUAACAGCUCACUAGUCGAGGAGUCGGGCGUGGAUAAUAAUCGGGUAUCAAGUUGUCUACCGAAGCAGUGGGAUCAUUUAUAUGAUCGGUAGGGGAGCAUUCCAGUCAGCGUCGAAGGCGUACCGUGAGGUAUUCUGGAGCGUCUGGAAAAGCAAAUGUAGGUAUAAGUAACGAUAAAGGGGGCGGGAAACCCCCUCGCCGAAAGACUAAGGUUUCCUGAUCAACGCUAAUCGGAUCAGGGUCAGUCGGGUCCUAAGGCUCAGCCGAACGGCGAUGCCGAUGGCAGAAACGGUUAAUAUUCCGUUACUACCUUCAGGAGUGACGUGGAGACGCAGUAGUGACAGUGCCGCCAUCUGACGGAAUAGAUGGUUGAAGGGUGUAGGAGUCGAUCAUGGCAGGCAAAUCCACCAUGAGAUCCGAACCUGACAGUAUGCCGCGUCCUUCGGGACAAGGCAAUAGUGCGCGUAAGCAUGCUGCCGAGAAAAUCCGCUAAACUUAAUCCUGCAGGUACCCGUACCGCAAACGGACACACGUAGUCGGGAUGAAUAUUCUAAGGCGCUUGAGUGAUUCACGGUUAAGGAACUAGGCAAACUGACCCUGUAACUUCGGGAUAAAGGGUCCCUACCCUUUUAUGGGAGGGCGCAGAGAAUCGGUCCAGGCAACUGUUUAACAAAAACACAGGGCUGUGCCAAAUCGAAAGAUCCAGUAUACAGCCUGACACCUGCCCGGUGCUGGAAGGUUAAGAGGAGAUGUCAUCGAUAAGAGAAGCGUUGAAUUGAAGCCCCAGUAAACGGCGGCCGUAACUAUAACGGUCCUAAGGUAGCGAAAUUCCUUGUCGGGUAAGUUC
rnacentral:rRNA from 1 species